rnacentral:rRNA from 1 species
AUGAACGCUAGCGGCAGGCUUAACACAUGCAAGUCGAGGGGCAGCAUAAUGGUAGCAAUACUAUUGAUGGCGACCGGCGGACGGGUGCGUAACGCGUAUGCAACCUACCCUUUACAGGGGGAUAACACUGAGAAAUCGGUACUAAUACCCCAUAAUAUUCUGGGAGGCAUCUUUCGGAGUUGAAAGCUUUGGUGGUAAAGGAUGGGCAUGCGUUGUAUUAGCUAGUUGGUAAGGUAACGGCUUACCAAGGCGACGAUACAUAGGGGGACUGAGAGGUUAACCCCCCACAUUGGUACUGAGACACGGACCAAACUCCUACGGGAGGCAGCAGUGAGGAAUAUUGGUCAAUGGACGGAAGUCUGAACCAGCCAUGCCGCGUGCAGGAAGACGGCUCUAUGAGUUGUAAACUGCUUUUGUACGAGGGUAAACGCAGAUACGCGUAUCUGCCUGAAAGUAUCGUACGAAUAAGGAUCGGCUAACUCCGUGCCAGCAGCCGCGGUAAUACGGAGGAUCCAAGCGUUAUCCGGAUUUAUUGGGUUUAAAGGGUGCGUAGGCGGUUUAGUAAGUCAGCGGUGAAAUUUUGGUGCUUAACACCAAACGUGCCGUUGAUACUGCUGGGCUAGAGAGUAGUUGCGGUAGGCGGAAUGUAUGGUGUAGCGGUGAAAUGCUUAGAGAUCAUACAGAACACCGAUUGCGAAGGCAGCUUACCAAACUAUAUCUGACGUUGAGGCACGAAAGCGUGGGGAGCAAACAGGAUUAGAUACCCUGGUAGUCCACACGGUAAACGAUGAAUACUCGCUGUUUGCGAUAUACUGCAAGCGGCCAAGCGAAAGCGUUAAGUAUUCCACCUGGGGAGUACGCCGGCAACGGUGAAACUCAAAGGAAUUGACGGGGGCCCGCACAAGCGGAGGAACAUGUGGUUUAAUUCGAUGAUACGCGAGGAACCUUACCCGGGCUUGAACUGCUGGCGAACGACUCAGAGAUGAUGAGGCCCUUCGGGGCGCCGGUGGAGGUGCUGCAUGGUUGUCGUCAGCUCGUGCCGUGAGGUGUCGGGUUAAGUCCCAUAACGAGCGCAACCCCUACUGAUAGUUGCCAUCAGAGCGUUUGAGCGAUCAAACAAGCUGGGCACUCUAUCGGGACUGCCGGUGUAAGCCGAGAGGAAGGUGGGGAUGACGUCAAAUCAGCACGGCCCUUACGUCCGGGGCGACACACGUGUUACAAUGGUAGGUACAGAGGGCAGCCACCCAGUGAUGGGGAGCGAAUCUCGAAAGCCUAUCUCAGUUCGGAUUGGAGGCUGAAACUCGCCUCCAUGAAGUUGGAUUCGCUAGUAAUCGCGCAUCAGCCAUGGCGCGGUGAAUACGUUCCCGGGCCUUGUACACACCGCCCGUCAAGCCAUGGGAGUUGGGGGUGCCUGAAGUUCGUGACCGAAAGGAGCGACCUAGGGCAAAACCGAUGACUGGGGCU